rfam:Streptomyces sp. IB2014 011-1 STIB_5, whole genome shotgun sequence.
CUUCAGGGAGCCCAGCCAGAGCGGCUCCGCCGGGCGCGCCGCCCCGUAGGUCGCCAGCAGCGCCUGCGCCUC